CCUACGGGGGUGCUGCAGUGGGGAAUAUUGGACAAUGGGCGAAAGCCUGAUCCAGCCAUGCCGCGUGUGUGAAGAAGGCCUUCGGGUUGUAAAGCACUUUCAGUGGGGAAGAAAGCCUUGGGGCUAAUACCCUCGAGGAAGGACAUCACCCACAGAAGAAGCACCGGCUAACUCCGUGCCAGCAGCCGCGGUAAUACGGAGGGUGCGAGCGUUAAUCGGAAUUACUGGGCGUAAAGCGCGCGUAGGCGGUCUGAUAAGCCGGUUGUGAAAGCCCCGGGCUCAACCUGGGAACGGCAUCCGGAACUGUCAGGCUAGAGUGCAGGAGAGGAAGGUAGAAUUCCCGGUGUAGCGGUGAAAUGCGUAGAGAUCGGGAGGAAUACCAGUGGCGAAGGCGGUCUUCUGGACUGACACUGACGCUGAGGUGCGAAAGCGUGGGUAGCAAACAGGAUUAGAUACCCCAGUAGUC
rnacentral:rRNA from 1 species